rnacentral:rRNA from 1 species
CCUACGGUGUGCAGCAGUGGGGAAUAUUGCACAAUGGGGGGAACCCUGAUGCAGCGACGCCGCGUGGGUGAGGAAGUACUUCGGUAUGUAAAGCCCUAUCAGCAGGGAAGACAAUGACGGUACCUGACUAAGAAGCCCCGGCUAACUACGUGCCAGCAGCCGCGGUAAUACGUAGGGGGAAAGCGUUAUCCGGAUUUACUGGGUGCAAAGGGAGCGUAGGCGGCGUGCCAAGUCUGAUGUGAAAGGCCGGGGCUCAAUCCCGGGACUGCAUUGGAAUCUGGCAUGCUGGAGUGCCGGAGGGGCAAGCGGAAUUCCAUGUGUAGCGGUGAAAUGCGUAGAUAUUAGGAGGAACACCAGUGGCGAAGGCGGCUUGCGGGACGGUAACUGACGUUGAGGCUCGAAAGCGUGGGGAGCAAACAGGAUUAGAUACCCGUGUAGUC